UACGCAGGGCGCAAGCGUUGUCCGGAAUUAUUGGGCGUAAAGAGCUCGUAGGCGGUUUGUCGCGUCUGUCGUGAAAGCUUGGGGCUUAACCCCAAGUCUGCGGUGGAUACGGGCAGACUAGAGGCAGGUAGGGGAGAACGGAAUUCCCGGUGUAGCGGUGAAAUGCGCAGAUAUCGGGAGGAACACCGGUGGCGAAGGCGGUUCUCUGGGCCUGUACUGACGCUGAGGAGCGAAAGCGUGGGGAGCGAACAGG
rnacentral:rRNA from 1 species